GGCGGGGGCGGGGCGGGGGGCGUUCCCGGGCCCCCGCCCCGCGCGGCCCGCCGCCCGUGAUGAUGUCACAAUCGCGGCGGGCCCCGGCGUUCCCGGGUCGGCUUCGGGCGCAGAUCCGAGCGGGCAGCGGGCUCCUGAGUCAUGGACUUCCCUUGGCCCCUCCUCUACCACUCCCACCGCCGCGCCGGGCCCCCCCGCAGGGGCUAGCGCUCGCGCGGCGGCUCCGAGGGGGUGGGGCUGCUGGGAAUGGCUGUGCCCCCUUCGGCUCCUCUGCAGUGCUCGCCCUUUUACCUGAGGCGGCAGGCGCCGUGCCCGCAGUGCUCAUGGGGCAUGGAGGAGAAGGCGGCGGCCGGCGCGGGCUGCCGGGAGCCGCCGGGCGCCUCGAGGGCCGCCGCCGUCCCUUGCUUCGGCAUAUCCGUGGACCAGGACGACAUCCUCCCGGGCGCCCUGCGCCUCAUCCAGGAGCUGCGGCCACAUUGGAAGCCCGAGCAAGUUCGGACUAAGCGCUUCACCGAUGGCAUCACCAACAAGCUGGUGGCCUGCUACGUGGAGGAGGACAUGGGGGACUGUGUGCUGGUCCGGGUGUACGGGGAGCGGACGGAGCUGCUGGUGGACCGGGAGAAUGAGGUCAGGAACUUCCAGCUGCUGCGAGCACAUGGCUGCGCCCCCAAGCUCUACUGCACCUUCCAGAACGGGCUGUGCUACGAGUACAUGCGGGGCAUGGCCCUGGGGCCCGAGCACAUCCGGGAGCCUCGGCUCUUCAGGCUAAUCGCCUUAGAAAUGGCAAAGAUUCACACCAUCCACGCCAACGGCAGCCUGCCCAAGCCCACCCUCUGGCACAAGAUGCACAAUUAUUUCACCCUCGUGAAGAACGAGAUCAACCCCAGCCUUUCUGCAGAUGUCCCCAAGGUGGAGGUGUUGGAACGGGAGCUGGCCUGGCUGAAGGAGCACCUGUCCCAGUUGGAUUCCCCUGUGGUGUUUUGUCACAACGACCUGCUCUGCAAGAACAUCAUCUAUGACAGCACCAAAGGCCAUGUACGGUUCAUUGACUAUGAAUACGCCGGCUACAACUACCAAGCUUUUGACAUUGGCAACCAUUUCAAUGAGUUUGCAGGUGUGAAUGAGGUCGAUUACUGCCGGUACCCUGGGCGGGACACCCAGCUGCAGUGGCUGAGCUACUACCUACAGGCUCAAAAGGGGAUGGCCGCGACCCCCAGGGAGGUGGAGAGGCUCUAUGUGCAAGUCAACAAGUUUGCCCUGGCGUCUCACUUCUUCUGGGCACUCUGGGCCCUCAUCCAGAACCAGUUCUCCACCAUCGACUUUGAUUUCCUCAGGUACGCAGUGAUCCGAUUCCACCAGUACUUCAAGGUGAAGCCCCAGGUGUCAGCCUUGGAGAUGCCAAAGUGACCAGCUUCCCCAUCUCUCCCCUACCCAUGCCUGGCAGGACCUGUGCUCCAGGGUUCACUUCUGCUCUGGGGUCCGCGCCCUCGGACAAGGUGGGAGAGGGGACAGAGCCACCUCUGGAGCUGAGGGCAGAAAUAACCACUGUGAAGGCAGCUUCGUUCCUAGCUUCCUGGGUCCUUGAUGUCACAGCGUUGGAGACGGUUUGCAGUGGUGAGCAGGAGCUGGAUGGGACAGGGCCCCCCGGGUACCAUCCUGUGCCCCUACAGCCCUGGCCACCAGCUGCACCAAAGGACUUAAGCGGACAGGUACCAUCUCACUGCCUUAGAGAAAACUUCCUCAUUGCUCCAGUUCUCCGGGGGAGGGGGGAAGCUCAGGACACCCCUCCCCCUCAAAGCCUGGAGUCCUUUCACUGCCACCCCAGACUAACCAGCACCCCUGCCCCCUGGUUCCAAGGGCCAGGCUGUGGCAACCCCGGGGGGAGGGCAGGGCUCCACUCCCUCAGGCCUUCCUUAGGGUCUAGCAGGAGCUCGGACCCUCGGCCUUUGUAGGAGACAGAGCAGAGGCUCACGCCCCAGCCUCCCUGCCUCCCUGACCCUGUGGUGCCUCUCGGGGAGACAGGGCUCCAACCAGAGGUCUUCGUGGAGGGCUCUGUCCAUCCUAAGAGGAUGUGGGGCAUGUGAAUCCAGCAGCUGGAAAGGAGGGCAGGAUAAGGGAUCCUAUAGUAGGAGGAGGACAGUAUUGGCCUCAGUCUCCUCUAAGGCCACAGAGGACUUGGGAAGAGGGAAGGGAGACGAACUCAGGACUGGCAGGCAGGGUGUGAGGGUGAGCCAGGCUGGGAGUGUCCUGACGGACUGCCCUGAUUUGGUUAGGAACACAGUGUGCGGGGUGGUGUGAACCGGAGGGUGGGAGGCCAGGACAGAGGAAGUUAAGAUGAUGAGCAACUCUCCCCCCUGACCGCUAGAGGGCAGGCGCCACAGUCAGCCACGCUCCUCUUCUGGAGGACCAUCUGUGUCUUUCCCUGGGUGGCCAGCGAGGCUGGAGAGGACAGGGGGUUGUGAGGACAAGGAGAGGAGACCCAAAGCUCCGGGAAGGUAGGCUGGGAAAAACCAGCAAAGGCCAGUAGCCAGGACCCUCCCUAGAUCAAAAGGCCAGGACUUCAUUCCUUGACAGAAUCAACCACAUCUAACUUCUACCACCUCCCUGGUUGUGAACACACAACCUCUCUUAAUCCAACCCAAAUCUGACUUCCAUUGGAAUUGCCCUUCAGCUUUGCUGCUCCAUUCCACCUUAAGGGGAUUAAUUUUUGACCCUAUCAAUCAUUAUCAAUAUGCACUUUGAAAGUUGGUUAUCAGCCCUUUGAAGUCCAAUGGACUGUCCUCUUAGAUACAUGUUUGAAAUCCUCCUUCAAAACCUGAGGUCGCAGAGCCCUGAAGCACACCACUAGCUCCCUUGCUUCAUUAAUCAGUAUCCUGGGGGCCUCCUACAUGGGAGAAGGCUCAUGUGGAUGGCCCGAGCCCAGGAUGAGGGCCCACAGCUUUCAUGAGAUUUUCAAAGGGCUCCUUCUCCACAAGGGGACAAGAAUUGUGGGUAAAGCUUAGCCUCGGUGUUUUCAGAUGAGCAUGAUGAAGCCCAGAGGGGACACUGGACCCUCUGCCAAGGCCACGUGGCUACUUCUAGAGAGAACCCAAAUCUCCCUGACUCCCUACAGUGCUCUCGCUACUGCCUUUUUUAGGAUCUGGGUGGGCAAUCUGUGGAGGGUCUGGCUUACCUCCUUGAGGCAGGGGCAGUGUCUUCGCAGUACAGGCUCUGUGGGUGGUGGCAGUCACUCCAGAGGCUUGAUCUGGUCUUCCCUGGCCUCCCAGGUCCCAGGCCCGAAGCUCCCCAGUGUCGCCACAAGGGGGCAGUGGUGGCUGGGCUGGCGGCACAUGUAGAAAUUCUGGACCUGGGCCAGCCUCCCUCCCUCCCCCGCACAAGGGCCAGAUUCUGAAAUGGUCUGUCUUUAUUAUGCCAACAGAAAACAAAAAAAUCCCCCAAGUGUAAACAGGAGAAAUGUGCUGGUUAAGUUACUCAUCAUUAUCUUAUUAUUAACAAAAUAAAGCACUAUCUAUGUUUACAGUCAUAAAAAAAGAAA